CAUUCAACUGCAGGUCUUCAACUCGCUUAGCGAGAGACCUGCAACAGAACUCCUUGCUGUAAGGAAAAAAUAAAGAACAAGAAGAAGAAGAGAAGGAUCUAUGAUAACCGUGUAACGGUUGUCCAUUCAGAAAUAACAAUGUGCCCCGAUGGAAAUAAACAAAUUGAAUGGAAGGACGAUGAGCGCAAGGAAAUCAAUUUAAAAGCACUGGAUGAUCUUGUUAACGUGAACUCACUUUUCACAAUUGCUGUGUUUAUUGGCCUAUCCUUUACUGCAACUCCAAACCAUGUUAGCCUUGAACAGCGACCGGAAUGCAUGGCGGACAGAAGAAUGGGAAAGAGAGUGAUCGUUUUCGAAAUUAUUUCAUUUGGUCUUUUCCUCCUUUCAAGCCAGGUAGCCAAAUCACUCAAGAUUUAUAUCAACAUGUAUGGAAGUCAAAAAAGUGAUAAAUUAAGAGUGAAAUGGGUUCAGGGUCUAUUUUUUUUAUUAUCAGUUCUUGCAUCAAUAGCUGGGGUUGUUCUUUUGGCAUUUUCUCUGGCUUACGUGGUGGAGAUAAAGGUCGGAAAGAUGUCCUGUGGAACCGAAGCUCUCCAGGCAGUAGUGCCGUUAGUCGUAUUUGUGGGUUUUGCUAUGUUAAUUUAUUUAUUUUCAAUGUGUCAUGCUAUACGCCAUUGUAUGGUAUAGUGUUUUAAAAAUCUUUUGUAUUUAAAACCCUCUGAAUAAAUAAAUUCAAUUUUAUCUUA